rnacentral:rRNA from 1 species
UGUACACACCGCCCGUCACACCAUGGGAGUGGGUUGCAAAAGAAGUAGGUAGCUUAACCUUCGGGAGGGCGCUUACCACUUUGUGAUUCAUGACUGGGGUGAAGUCGUAACAAGGUAACCGUAGGGGAACCUGCGGUUGGAUCACCUCCUUACCUGAAAGAA